CCUACGGGUGGCAGCAGUGAGGAAUAUUGGUCAAUGGGCGCGAGCCUGAACCAGCCAAGUCGCGUGAGGGAAGACGGUCCUAUGGAUUGUAAACCUCUUUUGUCGGGGAGCAAAAGACGCCACGCGUGGCGUUCCGAGAGUACCCGAAGAAAAAGCAUCGGCUAACUCCGUGCCAGCAGCCGCGGUAAUACGGAGGAUGCGAGCGUUAUCCGGAUUUAUGGGGUUAAAAGGGUGCGCAGGCGGAAGAUCAAGUCAGCGGUAAAAUUGGGAGGUUAAACGUAUUCGAGCCGUUGAUACUGGUAUUCUUGAGUGAAUGAGAAGUAGGCGGAAUGCGUGGUGUAGCGGUGAAAUGCAUAGAUAUCACGAAGAACUCCGAUUGCGAAGGCAGCAUACCGGAGCGCAACUGACGUUCAUGCACGAAAGUGUGGGUAUCGAACAGGAUUAGAUACCCGAGUAGUC
rnacentral:rRNA from 1 species